rnacentral:rRNA from 1 species
UACGGAGGGGCUAGCGUUGCUCGGAAUUACUGGGCGUAAAGGGCGCGUAGGCGGCCGCUCAAGUCGGGGGUGAAAGCCUGUGGCUUAACCACAGAAUUGCCUUCGAUACUGUUUGGCUUGAGACCGGAAGAGGUGAGUGGAACUGCGAGUGUAGAGGCGAAAUUCGUAGAUAUUAGGAAGAACACCGGUGGCGAAGGCGGCCCACUGGUCCGGUACUGACGCUGAGGUGCGAAAGCGUGGGGAGCAAACAGG